UUACUAUUUGCAUUCAUGUUUAU
rnacentral:snRNA from 1 species